GGGUUGUGAGGUUAAGCGACUAAGCGUACACGGUGGAUGCCCUGGCAGUCAGAGGCGAUGAAGGACGUGCUAAUCUGCGAUAAGCGUCGGUAAGGUGAUAUGAACCGUUAUAACCGGCGAUUUCCGAAUGGGGAAACCCAGUGUGUUUCGACACACUAUCAUUAACUGAAUCCAUAGGUUAAUGAGGCGAACCGGGGGAACUGAAACAUCUAAGUACCCCGAGGAAAAGAAAUCAACCGAGAUUCCCCCAGUAGCGGCGAGCGAACGGGGAGGAGCCCAGAGCCUGAAUCAGUGUGUGUGUUAGUGGAAGCGUCUGGAAAGGCGCGCGAUACAGGGUGACAGCCCCGUACACAAAAAUGCACAUACUGUGAGCUCGAUGAGUAGGGCGGGACACGUGGUAUCCUGUCUGAAUAUGGGGGGACCAUCCUCCAAGGCUAAAUACUCCUGACUGACCGAUAGUGAACCAGUACCGUGAGGGAAAGGCGAAAAGAACCCCGGCGAGGGGAGUGAAAAAGAACCUGAAACCGUGUACGUACAAGCAGUGGGAGCACAGAGCAAUCUGUGUGACUGCGUACCUUUUGUAUAAUGGGUCAGCGACUUAUAUUCUGUAGCAAGGUUAACCGAAUAGGGGAGCCGAAGGGAAACCGAGUCUUAACUGGGCGUUAAGUUGCAGGGUAUAGACCCGAAACCCGGUGAUCUAGCCAUGGGCAGGUUGAAGGUUGGGUAACACUAACUGGAGGACCGAACCGACUAAUGUUGAAAAAUUAGCGGAUGACUUGUGGCUGGGGGUGAAAGGCCAAUCAAACCGGGAGAUAGCUGGUUCUCCCCGAAAGCUAUUUAGGUAGCGCCUCGUGAAUUCAUCUCCGGGGGUAGAGCACUGUUUCGGCAAGGGGGUCAUCCCGACUUACCAACCCGAUGCAAACUGCGAAUACCGGAGAAUGUUAUCACGGGAGACACACGGCGGGUGCUAACGUCCGUCGUGAAGAGGGAAACAACCCAGACCGCCAGCUAAGGUCCCAAAGUCAUGGUUAAGUGGGAAACGAUGUGGGAAGGCCCAGACAGCCAGGAUGUUGGCUUAGAAGCAGCCAUCAUUUAAAGAAAGCGUAAUAGCUCACUGGUCGAGUCGGCCUGCGCGGAAGAUGUAACGGGGCUAAACCAUGCACCGAAGCUGCGGCAGCGACACUGUGUGUUGUUGGGUAGGGGAGCGUUCUGUAAGCCUGUGAAGGUGUGCUGUGAGGCAUGCUGGAGGUAUCAGAAGUGCGAAUGCUGACAUAAGUAACGAUAAAGCGGGUGAAAAGCCCGCUCGCCGGAAGACCAAGGGUUCCUGUCCAACGUUAAUCGGGGCAGGGUGAGUCGACCCCUAAGGCGAGGCCGAAAGGCGUAGUCGAUGGGAAACAGGUUAAUAUUCCUGUACUUGGUGUUACUGCGAAGGGGGGACGGAGAAGGCUAUGUUGGCCGGGCGACGGUUGUCCCGGUUUAAGCGUGUAGGCUGGUUUUCCAGGCAAAUCCGGAAAAUCAAGGCUGAGGCGUGAUGACGAGGCACUACGGUGCUGAAGCAACAAAUGCCCUGCUUCCAGGAAAAGCCUCUAAGCAUCAGGUAACAUCAAAUCGUACCCCAAACCGACACAGGUGGUCAGGUAGAGAAUACCAAGGCGCUUGAGAGAACUCGGGUGAAGGAACUAGGCAAAAUGGUGCCGUAACUUCGGGAGAAGGCACGCUGAUAUGUAGGUGAAGUCCCUCGCGGAUGGAGCUGAAAUCAGUCGAAGAUACCAGCUGGCUGCAACUGUUUAUUAAAAACACAGCACUGUGCAAACACGAAAGUGGACGUAUACGGUGUGACGCCUGCCCGGUGCCGGAAGGUUAAUUGAUGGGGUCAGCGCAAGCGAAGCUCUUGAUCGAAGCCCCGGUAAACGGCGGCCGUAACUAUAACGGUCCUAAGGUAGCGAAAUUCCUUGUCGGGUAAGUUCCGACCUGCACGAAUGGCGUAAUGAUGGCCAGGCUGUCUCCACCCGAGACUCAGUGAAAUUGAACUCGCUGUGAAGAUGCAGUGUACCCGCGGCAAGACGGAAAGACCCCGUGAACCUUUACUAUAGCUUGACACUGAACAUUGAGCCUUGAUGUGUAGGAUAGGUGGGAGGCUUUGAAGUGUGGACGCCAGUCUGCAUGGAGCCGACCUUGAAAUACCACCCUUUAAUGUUUGAUGUUCUAACGUGGACCCGUGAUCCGGGUUGCGGACAGUGUCUGGUGGGUAGUUUGACUGGGGCGGUCUCCUCCUAAAGAGUAACGGAGGAGCACGAAGGUUGGCUAAUCCUGGUCGGACAUCAGGAGGUUAGUGCAAUGGCAUAAGCCAGCUUGACUGCGAGCGUGACGGCGCGAGCAGGUGCGAAAGCAGGUCAUAGUGAUCCGGUGGUUCUGAAUGGAAGGGCCAUCGCUCAACGGAUAAAAGGUACUCCGGGGAUAACAGGCUGAUACCGCCCAAGAGUUCAUAUCGACGGCGGUGUUUGGCACCUCGAUGUCGGCUCAUCACAUCCUGGGGCUGAAGUAGGUCCCAAGGGUAUGGCUGUUCGCCAUUUAAAGUGGUACGCGAGCUGGGUUUAGAACGUCGUGAGACAGUUCGGUCCCUAUCUGCCGUGGGCGCUGGAGAACUGAGGGGGGCUGCUCCUAGUACGAGAGGACCGGAGUGGACGCAUCACUGGUGUUCGGGUUGUCAUGCCAAUGGCACUGCCCGGUAGCUAAAUGCGGAAGAGAUAAGUGCUGAAAGCAUCUAAGCACGAAACUUGCCCCGAGAUGAGUUCUCCCUGACCCUUUAAGGGUCCUGAAGGAACGUUGAAGACGACGACGUUGAUAGGCCGGGUGUGUAAGCGCAGCGAUGCGUUGAGCUAACCGGUACUAAUGAACCGUGAGGCUUAACCUUACAACGCCGAAGGUGUUU
rnacentral:rRNA from 2 species